GACUCAGCUUCCAUUUUGGAAAAAAAAUUCAGAAGCCCUCUCACUCUCUCUCUCGCGCUCCCUGGUCCGAUCACCGGACCAACGUCAUCCACCGCACAGGCCACAGAACUCGGUGGCCGAAAAUCGAAAAAAAAGUUUAGUUGAUGGCGGUGGAGCAGGUGGCUGAUAGAGGAGUGGCGGCAGGUGGUGGUGGUAGACCUAGGUGCGGCGCACCUAGGGUUUUUUUGUUUUUUCUUUAGUUUUAGGUAUUGGGCUAGAGUUUAAAAUUGGGCUUAGUUGGGUUUAGGUAGUUGAUUUAGGUUUGGGUUUUGGGUUUGUAAUUGGCUGAUGGGUUUUUAAUCUGGGUUUAGGAUUGGUUUUGUUCAUGGGCCCGGGCAAAAUUUGGGCUGUACAAUAGAAAUAUCAAAUAAAAAGCCUAAAAUAUUUUAAUAGAUAAAA